UACGUAGGGUGCAAGCGUUGUCCGGAAUUAUUGGGCGUAAAGAGCUCGUAGGCGGUUUGUCGCGUCUGCUGUAAAAACUCGGGGCUUAACCCCGGGCCUGCAGUGGGUACGGGCAGACUAGAGUGCGGUAGGGGAGACUGGAAUUCCUGGUGUAGCGGUGAAAUGCGCAGAUAUCAGGAGGAACACCGGUGGCGAAGGCGGGUCUCUGGGCCGAUACUGACGCUGAGGAGCGAAAGCCAGGGGAGCAAACGGG
rnacentral:rRNA from 1 species